CUGGGUUUCAUUAUAGUGGUGUCAGAAGUGACCUUGCAUCCACGAACGUGCUUGUGCUUGGCCAUUGAGCAUGUUCCUAUGAGACGUUGAGUUGUAAGUGUGGGAGCAAGAUGUACAUAUAGGGAGAAACAUAAUACUGUACCACAAGAGAAGGAUACACUUAGAGUGCAUUUGCCAUUCUGGUAAAAUGCAUUGUCUAUUGUAUAGGACAUGAAACCAAAGUAAGGCCAUGAGAGCAUAGGACAGCUGGACAUACCAAGGUCAGAGGGAUACACAAAGGAGAGGGUCAGCCAAAUGACCAACGGAUGGACUAUAGAAAUAGGGCAUAUAUUUUUAGGACAUGAAGAGAAGAGAAACAUAGUCUACUAGUCCUAAUAAGGACAGACAAACCAAAGAAAGAACCAAGCUAAACUAAAGGGGCCCAUAGGAUAAGAUGGGCAUGUAUUAUUUUUGGGACAUGAAGAGGUCCUGUCACCAUUAUAACUUGACUGAAAGCAGAUGUGGGCGCUAUUGGGCGUGAACAAGCAGGAUGCACAGAUUGGGAUAUAAUGGUGGCAGAUGGACUGAGGGAAGUAACUUCAUUUGCAUGUGGGGUGGACUCAUAUGUUGUAUGUGUAUAAAAACAGAGCCAGUGCUCUGGAAAAGUGUGUGUUCCGCGGACCAUCUAGGCUUCUGAUAUGUUUGUAUUAAAAGCCUAUAUUGAAUUCACAAGUUCUUGUAAGUGUUAUAUUUUGUAACGAUCCUCCACGACAUAAGCUAGCACGAAGACGCGCACUUUGAAAGGAGGGAGUUGUGUAACGACCCUGGGUUUAUAAGCGCGGAUAUCGACUCUGCCACUCGAGCAUGCUUUUGGGGCACAGACGAUGGCGCACUGGAUUUUGUUCCAGAAGGUUGAGGGUUCGAGACCUGCUCCCUGCCUGUUUCUGUCAUGUAUUGUCAUGUUGUGUCUUGUUUCUGUCCUUUCCCUUCACCCUGUCUCCCUCUGCUGGUCGUUAUUAGGUUACCUUUUCUCCCCCUCUUUCCCCCAGCUGUUCCUUGUCUCCUCCUAACUACCUCGUCACCCCUUUUCCCACCUGUUCCCUUUUUCCCUCUGAUUAGUCCUCUAUAUCUCUCUUCCUCUAUAUCUCUCUCUGUUUUUGUUUCUGUCUUUGUCGGAUUCUUGUUUGUGUUAUUCAUGCCUGAACCAGACUAUCGUCAUGUUUGCUGCAACCUUGUCCUGUCCUGUCGGAAUCUGCCGGUCCAUCUGAGCCUACGUAUGUUUUGUUAUUAA
rnacentral:lncRNA from 13 species